rnacentral:rRNA from 1 species
UACGAAGGGGGCUAGCGUUGCCCGGAAUCACUGGGCGUAAAGCGCACGUAGGCGGGUUCUUAAGUCAGGGGUGAAAUCCUGGAGCUCAACUCCAGAACUGCCUUUGAUACUGGGAAUCUCGAGUCCGGGAGAGGUGAGUGGAACUGCGAGUGUAGAGGUGAAAUUCGUAGAUAUUCGCAAGAACACCAGUGGCGAAGGCGGCUCACUGGCCCGAUACUGACGCUGAGGUGCGAAAGCGUGGGGAGCAAACAGG